UUCGCAAUGCCCGAAAGGGUGACGAAGCGACGCCGCGUGAGCGAAGAAGGCCCUAGGGUUGUAAAGCUCUGUCGGGGGCUAUGAAGUGUAGGCUGGCUAAUACCCAGUUUAUUUGACAAAGGCCCCAAAGGAAGCCACGGCUAACUCUGUGCCAGCAGCCGCGGUAAUACAGAGGUGGCAAGCGUUGUUCGGUAUUAUUGGGCGUAAAGAGCACGUAGGUGGUUUUGUAAGUCAGAUGUGAAAGCCUUCUGUUCAAAGGAAGAACGGCAUCUGAAACUGCAGAUCUUGAGUGUAGGAGGGGAGAGUGGAACUUCUGGUGGAGCGGUGAAAUGCGUAGAUAUCAGAAGGAACGUCGGCGGCGAAAGCGACUCUCUGGCCUAUUACUGACACUGAGUGUGCGAAAGUUAGGGGAGCAAACGGGAUUAGAUACCCCGGUAGUCCUAACUGUAAACGAUGGGCACUAAGUAGAGGGGUUUU
rnacentral:rRNA from 1 species